CUACGGGGGGCUGCAGCGGGGAAUAUUGGACAAUGGGGGAAACCCUGAUCCAGCAAUGCCGCGUGUGUGAAGAAGGCCUUCGGGUUGUAAAGCACUUUUGGUAGGGACGAAAAGCUUGAAGCUAAUAACUUCGGGUGUUGACUUAACCUACAGAAAAAGCACUGGCUAACUCUGUGCCAGCAGCCGCGGUAAUACAGAGAGUGCAAGCGUCAAUCGGAAUUACUGGGCGUAAAGCGCGUGUAGGUGGAUAGUUAAGUCGGUUGUGAAAGCCCCGGGCUCAACCUGGGAAUUGCAGUUGAUACUGGCUAUCUAGAGUAUGGUAGAGGGAAGUGGAAUUUCCGGUGUAGCGGUAAAAUGCGUAGAUAUCGGAAAGAACACCAGUGGCGAAGGCGGCUUCCUGGACCAAUACUGACACUGAGGCGCGAAAGCGUGGGGAGCAGACAGGAUUAGAUACCCUCGUAGUC
rnacentral:rRNA from 1 species